UACGAAGGGGGCUAGCGUUGCGCGGAUUGACUGGGCGUAAAGGGCGCGUAGGCGGUUCGUACAGUCAGACGUGAAAUUCCUGGGCUCAACCUGGGGGCUGCGUUUGAUACGUGCGGACUUGAGUGCGGAAGAGGGUCGUGGAAUUCCCAGUGUAGAGGUGAAAUUCGUAGAUAUUGGGAAGAACACCGGUGGCGAAGGCGGCGACCUGGUCCGAUACUGACGCUGAGGCGCGAAAGCUAGGGGAGCAAACAGG
rnacentral:rRNA from 1 species